CGAGACUUCAGGACCAAAACACCAAUUGUUUCUGUAGAGUUGGGAGAAAUCUACAAAAUAACUAUCAUGUUAAAUGAUAUAUCUUCACUUGAUUAAUAAUGUCAUCCACAUUGUGUUAGUUUGAAUGAUGCUUACCUUUCUCCAACUCUCUCCAAGGAAUUCAUUGACAGCCAAGCCGUUCUGUCCGUACAUCAUAGGUGAAAACCAAUAACACCAUAUCCACCAACCUUUUAUGUCAUCUGCGGUGGAAAAUGGAUUUCGAAUGCAGAGUGGCUUUUUGAUCUAUCAAAUGGAGUAGCAAGUUCAUCCCCUAUCCUUCUUCCGAUGUGAAAUGACUGGAAUGCCUCUGCAAAUUCUCUUGAAGUGACAAAAAUAUGUCAAGAUCAGGAUCCGGUUUAAUGUUUGCAUCCUUUUCUCUCCUUGACAAUUCUGCCAACAUUUCUGCAAAAUUUUUGAAGUCAUGUGCCAGGUUAGACCCAACUGUAAGUACGGAUUCAGAUUUGACAUAAUCAUCAAGGAAGGUUCAGUCCUUGCUGUCUAUACUAUUUUCUCAGCAACGCCAUGCUCGAUAAAGGAAGAUCGGCGGGGCCUCGGCCACCAGUUCAAUCCCAAGGGCGACCGGCUUUUACCACCGGUCGGCCUUCAGGCGGGUGGGUUUUCUUCGGGACUUGGAGUUAACUGGGCUAGGCCAUCCAUCUGGUUUGGACCACUUGAUGCAUACCUUUAGCCAUUGGGCCGCCGCGUAUGGAGUGCCCGGAUUGUCUUAGUUGGUUGUGUUUUGAGCAUUCUCACGUAUGUAACACUUGAAUCACAUAAAGGUUGUGUACCCCUUAAGGUAAAUGGCACUAAUUGUUUCUCUUUCUCCUAAUGUGAAGCAUACCAUUAAUUAUAGUAAUUACAUUAUGUCCUUUUGAUUGCAUUCUGUAGUAAA